GACUCUGUAGCUCAGUGGUUAGAGCAUGCGAUUGCAGAUCGCGGGGUCCCGUGUUCAAAUCACGGCAGGGUCU